UGGGCUUGACAUGCGCCAGACGACUGCAGAGAUGUGGUUUCCCUUGUGGUUGGUGUGCAGGUGGUGCAUGGCUGUCGUCAGCUCGUGUCGUGAGAUGUUGGGUUAAGUCCCGCAACGAGCGCAACCCUCGUUCCAUGUUGCCAGCAAGUGAUGUUGGGGACUCAUGGGAGACUGCCGGGGUCAACUCGGAGGAAGGUGGGGAUGACGUGCGGAAUGUCGAUA
rnacentral:misc_RNA from 1 species